UGGGGAAUAUUGGACAAUGGGCGAAAGCCUGAUCCAGCAAUGCCGCGUGAGUGAUGAAGGCCUUAGGGUUGUAAAGCUCUUUUACCCGGGAAGAUAAUGACUGUACCGGGAGAAUAAGCCCCGGCUAACUCCGUGCCAGCAGCCGCGGUAAUACGGAGGGGGCUAGCGUUGUUCGGAAUUACUGGGCGUAAAGCGUACGUAGGCGGCUUUGUAAGUUAGAGGUGAAAGCCUGAUGCUCAACAUCAGAAUUGCCUUUAAGACUGCAUCGCUUGAACGUCGGAGAGGUGAGUGGAAUUCCGAGUGUAGAGGUGAAAUUCGUAGAUAUUCGGAAGAACACCAGUGGCGAAGGCGGCUCACUGGACGACUGUUGACGCUGAGGUACGAAAGCGUGGGGAGCAAACA
rnacentral:rRNA from 1 species